GGAGGGCAGAGGGCAACAGUGUUAGAGCAGCUCCUUUGGCACCCACCAUUCAGUAGGUCCUGAGUUCUUGUCCUGCAUCCAAGAAGAAUGAUGUUACGUGGACAACCAGAGGGACCCGGAAGCCCUCACCUCCAGUUGUCCCGCCUUACCGGAUCCAACCAAUGUACAGCUGACACAUAUUGAUUGAUGUCUCAUGUCUCCCUGAAAUGUAUAAAAGCAAGCUG
rnacentral:lncRNA from 1 species